rnacentral:tRNA from 1 species
AUAUAAAAAGUAAUAUAUUACAUUUAAUUUCGACUUAAAAUUUAAACUAAAUAAGUUUUUAUAUA